ensembl:lncRNA
GCCAAGGAGAAGCAUGUGUGCUGUGCAUGGACUGAGGAGGCAGAAAAGAGACCCAACUCUGCUUCCGUGUGCUGGGGUGAAACAAGAGCAUUCAUUCCUUAUUCUAGAAACAUCCUGGGACCCAGCUUCCAUUUUUACUAUAUAUGUUUGAUCCUAUAAUGAACCUACGUGGUGCAGUGUUCUCUCUGGUUUAGAUGAGGAAAACAAGGAUCAAGAGAACCAUUCUAGGGAGUCAUUCAACUUUUCUUGCAUCCUUCUUCUCAGCAUUCCUGAAGAGCCAGCAGCGCCCAGGCCUCUGCCAGGAAUCGGGAACCAGAGUUGUCCUCUAGAAAGAGCUCACAGUUUCAUAAGGCCUCUUCUGUCACAGUGUGGGUGUCACCGCUUCAGGUGAAAGAGUCAGGACCCCCAAGGAAUUGUGUCAAUCAAGGCGGGUCAAGAUGGGAUGGCGGCCACAUUACUUCAGUUAGUAAAAACACAUGUGCAAGAUUUUAAAUGGCCAGAUUCUAGUGUUAAACAUCACUUCCAUUUUCAAAAAGUCCAAUGA